GAAGGGUGCUGAUCCCACAACUGCUGAGAAUCCCCCUAUUCUUGGAAGUGAGAACAUCCCAACAAACACUGAUAUGCCACAUAUUACUGAUCCAAGCACCACUAUUCCUGAAACUGAGAACAUCCCACUCAAUCCUGAUAUGCCACCCAUUACUGAAUCUGGCCCCAUUCCACAAAAUAAUGAGAUGCCCCCCAUUAAUGAUUCUGGCCCAAUUCCAUAAAAUAUUGAGAU